UAAUACGUGGGGUGCGAACGUUAUCCGGAUUUACUGGGCGUAAAGAGUUCGUAGGCGUUUUUCUAAGUUUCAUUUGAAAUACCGAGGCUCAACUUCGGGACCGGAUGAAAUACUAGAAGAAUUGAGUUAGUUAGGGGGUACUGGAACUCAUAGUGUAGCAGUGAAAUGCGUUGAUAUUAUGAGGAACACCAAGGGCGAAGGCAGGUACCUGGGACUAUACUGACGCUGAGGAACGAAAGCUAGGGGAGCGAAAGGGAUUAGAGACCCCUGUAGUCCUAGCCGUAAACUAUGCACGCUUGAUCCCUGAAACUUGUUUUGGGGGUUGGAGCUAACGCGUGAAGCGUGCCGCCUGGGGAGUACGACCGCAAGGUUAAAACUCAAAUGAAUUGACGG
rnacentral:rRNA from 1 species